rnacentral:rRNA from 1 species
ACAGAGGGGGCAAGCGCUGUUCGGAAUUACUGGGCGUAAAGGGCGCGUAGGCGGCCGGCUAAGUCGAACGUGAAAUCCCCGGGCUCAACCCGGGAACUGCGUCCGAUACUGGUCGGCUUGAAUUCGGGAGAGGGAUGCGGAAUUCCAGGUGUAGCGGUGAAAUGCGUAGAUAUCUGGAGGAAUACCGGUGGCGAAGGCGGCAUCCUGGACCGGCAUUGACGCUGAAGCGCGAAAGCUAGGGGAGCAAACAGGA